UCGGCUAGUAGAGACUGGAGAUGGGAAUAGGAAGAGGUCGGCUAGUGGAGACUGGAGAUGGGAAAAGGAAGAGGUCGGCUAGUAGAGACUGGAGAUGGGAAAAGGAAGAGGUCGGCUAGUAGAGACUGGAGAUGGGAAAAGGAAGAGGUCG